rnacentral:rRNA from 1 species
CCUACGGGCGGCAGCAGUGAGGAAUAUUGGUCAAUGGGCGCGAGCCUGAACCAGCCAAGUCGCGUGAGGGAAGACGGUCCUAUGGAUUGUAAACCUCUUUUGUCGGGGAACAAAGGCGCCCACGGGUGGGCGGAUGAGUGUACCCGAAGAAACAGCAUCGGCAAACUCCGUGCCAGCAGCCGCGGUACUACGGAGGAUGCGAGCGUUGUCCGGAUUUAUUGGGUUUAAGGGGUGCGUAGGCGGACAGUCAAGUCAGCGGUAAAAAUGCGGUGCUAAAAUCCGUACAGCCGUUGAAACUGGGAGUCUUGAGAGGGCGAGAAGUAUGCGGAAUGCGUGGGGUAGCGGUGAAAUGCAUAGAUAUCACGCAGAACUCCGAGGGCGAAGGCAGCAUACCGGCGCCCGACUGACGCUGAGGCACGAAAGCGUGGGUAUCGAACAGGAUUAGAUACCCUUGUAGUC